UGGGGAAUAUUGCACAAUGGGCGAAAGCCUGAUGCAGCAACGCCGCGUGAGGGACGACGGCCUUCGGGUUGUAAACCUCUUUUAGCAAGGAAGAAGCGAAAGUGACGGUACUUGCAGAAAAAGCGCCGGCUAACUACGUGCCAGCAGCCGCGGUAAUACGUAGGGCGCAAGCGUUAUCCGGAAUUAUUGGGCGUAAAGAGCUCGUAGGCGGUUUGUCGCGUCUGCUGUGAAAACCCGAGGCUCAACCUCGGGCCUGCAGUGGGUACGGGCAGACUAGAGUGCGGUAGGGGAGAUUGGAACUCCUGGUGUAGCGGUGGAAUGCGCAGAUAUCAGGAAGAACACCGAUGGCGAAGGCAGAUCUCUGGGCCGUAACUGACGCUGAGGAGCGAAAGGGUGGGGAGCAAACAGGCUUAGAUACCCUGGUAGUCCACCCCGUAAACGUUGGGAACUAGUUGUGGGGUCCAUUCCACGGAUUCCGUGACGCAGCUAACGCAUUAAGUUCCCCGCCUGGGGAGUACGGUCGCAAGAUUC
rnacentral:rRNA from 1 species